rnacentral:rRNA from 1 species
AUGCAGUCGAACGAUGAAGCCCUUCGGGGUGGAUUAGUGGCGAACGGGUGAGUAACACGGGGGCAAUCUGCCCUUCACUCUGGGACAAGCCCUGGAAACGGGGUCUAAUACCGGAUAACACUCGCCGAGGCAUCUCGGUGGGUUGAAAGCUCCGGCGGUGAAGGAUGAGCCCGCGGCCUAUCAGCUUGUUGGUGAGGUAGAAGCUCACCAAGGCGACGACGGGUAGCCGGCCUGAGAGGGCGACCGGCCACACUGGGACUGAGACACGGCCCAGACUCCUACGGGAGGCAGCAGUGGGGAAUAUUGCACAAUGGGCGAAAGCCUGAUGCAGCGACGCCGCGUGAGGGAUGACGGCCUUCGGGUUGUAAACCUCUUUCAGCAGGGAAGAAGCGAAAGUGACGGUACCUGCAGAAGAAGCGCCGGCUAACUACGUGCCAGCAGCCGCGGUAAUACGUAGGGCGCAAGCGUUGUCCGGAAUUAUUGGGCGUAAAGAGCUCGUAGGCGGUCUGUCACGUCGGAUGUGAAAGCCCGGGGCUUAACCCCGGGUCUGCAUUCGAUACGGGCAGACUAGAGUGUGGUAGGGGAGAUCGGAAUUCCUGGUGUAGCGGUGAAAUGCGCAGAUAUCAGGAGGAACACCGGUGGCGAAGGCGGAUCUCUGGGCCAUUACUGACGCUGAGGAGCGAAAGCGUGGGGAGCGAACAGGAUUAGAUACCCUGGUAGUCCACGCCGUAAACGGUGGGAACUAGGUGUUGGCGACAUUCCACGUCGUCGGUGCCGCAGCUAACGCAUUAAGUUCCCCGCCUGGGGAGUACGGCCGCAAGGCUAAAACUCAAAGGAAUUGACGGGGGCCCGCACAAGCAGCGGAGCAUGUGGCUUAAUUCGACGCAACGCGAAGAACCUUACCAAGGCUUGACAUCGCCCGGAAAGCAUCAGAGAUGGUGCCCCCCUUGUGGUCGGGUGACAGGUGGUGCAUGGCUGUCGUCAGCUCGUGUCGUGAGAUGUUGGGUUAAGUCCCGCAACGAGCGCAACCCUUGUUCUGUGUUGCCAGCAUGCCCUUCGGGGUGAUGGGGACUCACAGGAGACUGCCGGGGUCAACUCGGAGGAAGGUGGGGACGACGUCAAGUCAUCAUGCCCCUUAUGUCUUGGGCUGCACACGUGCUACAAUGGCAGGUACAAUGAGCUGCGAUGUCGCAAGGCGGAGCGAAUCUCAAAAAGCCUGUCUCAGUUCGGAUUGGGGUCUGCAACUCGACCCCAUGAAGUCGGAGUUGCUAGUAAUCGCAGAUCAGCAUUGCUGCGGUGAAUACGUUCCCGGGCCUUGUACACACCGCCCGUCACGUCACGAAAGUCGGUAACACCCGAAGCCGGUGGCCCAACCCCCUUGUGGGGAGGGAGCUGUCGAA